rnacentral:lncRNA from 1 species
GACCGACUGUCCUCUGGCCUGCUCUGCCUGCAGCUGGAAAAGCAAGUGUACUGAGGCCUCCUCUGGACUCCCUCAUGCUGCCCACUUCUCCCUCCAGCAAGUCCCUGGGCACUGCCAAUGGCCCUGGCCCCUCUCCUCUCUCACCCAUCCACCCACAGAGAGUUGCUAAACCUGUGUCAGGUGCUCUGUAUCUGAGACUUUGGGUGACAACAGUGAGCAAAGGCAGAUGUUGUCCCUGCCCUCAUGGAGCCUACAGGGUUUUGGAGGAGAGAGGUUAAAGAAUCACCAAGCAAAUAUCACCAGUGCUGAGGAGAGAGGUCAGAGUCUGAGCAGCUGGGCCCCAUCUGCUGUCCCUGCCACGUGUCCUCUGGGGAGGGAUAGGGGAGCCAGGGCUCCCAGGGGCCCUGGCUGCUCUUUCUCUUCUACUCCUACACUGAUCCUCGGGGACUCUCACUUUGCUCCUUGUCAUCCUCCAAGCUGAAAAGCAGAGUACACGAUCAGAACUUCUUACUCCCAGACUCCUGUGUGGAAAGAAAAUGGCCAUUGCCUAAGGGUGAGUGCUGGUCUUUCU